rnacentral:rRNA from 1 species
UACGUAGGGUGCAAGCGUUUGUCCGGAAUUAUUGGGCGUAAAGAGCUCGUAGGCGGUCUGUCGCGUCGGCUGUGAAAACUCGGGGCUCAACCCCGAGCUUGCAGUCGAUACGGGCAGGCUAGAGUUCGGCAGGGGAGACUGGAAUUCCUGGUGUAGCGGUGAAAUGCGCAGAUAUCAGGAGGAACACCGGUGGCGAAGGCGGGUCUCUGGGCCGAUACUGACGCUGAGGAGCGAAAGCGCGGGGAGCGAACAGG